GACGAACGCUGGCGGCGUGCUUAACACAUGCAAGUCGAACGGAAAGGCCCUGCUUUUGUGGGGUGCUCGAGUGGCGAACGGGUGAGUAACACGUGAGUAACCUGCCCUUGACUUUGGGAUAACUUCAGGAAACUGGGGCUAAUACCGGAUAGGAGCUCCUGCUGCAUGGUGGGGGUUGGAAAGUUUCGGCGGUUGGGGAUGGACUCGCGGCUUAUCAGCUUGUUGGUGGGGUAGUGGCUUACCAAGGCUUUGACGGGUAGCCGGCCUGAGAGGGUGACCGGCCACAUGGGGACUGAGAGACGGCCCAGACUGCUACGGGAGGCAGCAGUGGGGAAUAUUGCACAAUGGGCGGAAGCCUGAUGAAGCAACGCCGCGGGCGGGAUGACGGCCUUCGGGUUGUAAACCGCUUUCGCCUGUGACGAAGCGUGAGUGACGGUAAUGGGUAAAGAAGCACCGGCUAACUACGUG
rnacentral:rRNA from 1 species